rnacentral:rRNA from 1 species
AUUGAACGCUGGCGGCAGGCCUAACACAUGCAAGUCGAGCGGAUGAAGGGAGCUUGCUCCUGGAUUCAGCGGCGGACGGGUGAGUAAUGCCUAGGAAUCUGCCUGGUAGUGGGGGAUAACGUCCGGAAACGGGCGCUAAUACCGCAUACGUCCUGAGGGAGAAAGUGGGGGAUCUUCGGACCUCACGCUAUCAGAUGAGCCUAGGUCGGAUUAGCUAGUUGUUGGGGUAAAGGCCUACCAAGGCGACGAUCCGUAACUGGUCUGAGAGGAUGAUCAGUCACACUGGAACUGAGACACGGUCCAGACUCCUACGGGAGGCAGCAGUGGGGAAUAUUGGACAAUGGGCGAAAGCCUGAUCCAGCCAUGCCGCGUGUGUGAAGAAGGUCUUCGGAUUGUAAAGCACUUUAAGUUGGGAGGAAGGGCAGUAAGUUAAUACCUUGCUGUUUUGACGUUACCAACAGAAUAAGCACCGGCUAACUUCGUG